CAGUCGCCGCGGUAAUACGUAGGGUGCAGGCGUUAAUCGGAAUUACUGGGCGUAAAGCGUGCGCAGGCGGUCUAUUAAGACAGGUGUGAAAUCCCCGGGCUUAACCUGGGAACUGCGCUUGUAACUGAUAGGCUUGAGUGUGGCAGAGGGGGGUGGAAUUCCAGGUGUAGCAGUGAAAUGCGUAGAGAUCUGGAGGAACACCGAUGGCGAAGGCAGCCCCCUGGGCUAACACUGACGCUCAUGCACGAAAGCGUGGGGAGCAAACAGGAUUAGAUACCCCGGUAGUCCCUGUCUCUUAUAC
rnacentral:rRNA from 1 species